UACGGAGGGAGCUAGCGUUAUUCGGAAUUACUGGGCGUAAAGCGCACGUAGGCGGCUUUGUAAGUCAGAGGUGAAAGCCUGGAGCUCAACUCCAGAACUGCCUUUGAGACUGCAUCGCUUGAAUCCAGGAGAGGUGAGUGGAAUUCCGAGUGUAGAGGUGAAAUUCGUAGAUAUUCGGAAGAACACCAGUGGCGAAGGCGGCUCACUGGACUGGUAUUGACGCUGAGACGCGAAAGCGUGGGGAGCGAACAGG
rnacentral:rRNA from 1 species